rnacentral:rRNA from 1 species
UCUCUCUGAAUCUGCGUACGGCUCAUUAUAUCAGUUAUAGUUUAUUUGAUAAUUCUUUACUACUUGGAUAACCGUAGUAAUUCUAGAGCUAAUACAUGCUAAACGCCUCGACUUUACGGAAGAGGUGCACUUAUUAGAUGCAAAACCAACCCGGGAAACCGGACACUGGUGAAUCAGAAUAAUUUAGCAGAUCGCAUGGCCUUGCGCCAGCGACGCACCAUUCAAAUUUCUGCCCUAUCAACUUUUGAUGGUAGUGUAGUGGACUACCAUGGUGAUAACGGGUAACGGAGAAUUAGGGUUCGGUCCUGGAGAGUGGGCCUGAGAGAUUGUUAG